AAAUUUUGCAGUGAAAAUGGAUUGUAUAGAU
rnacentral:guide_RNA from 1 species